GGUUAAGCGACUAAGCGUACACGGUGGAUGCCCUGGCAGUCAGAGGCGAUGAAGGACGUGCUAAUCUGCGAAAAGCGUCGGUAAGGUGAUAUGAACCGUUACAGCCGGCGAUGUCCGAAUGGGGAAACCCAGUGCAAUUCGUUGCACUAUCGUUAACUGAAUGCAUAGGUUAACGAGGCGAACCGGGGGAACUGAAACAUCUAAGUACCCCGAGGAAAAAAAAUCAACCGAGAUUCCCCCAGUAGCGGCGAGCGAACGGGGAGCAGCCCAGAGUCUGAAUCAGCUUGUGUGUUAGUGGAACGGUCUGGAAAGUCCGACGGUACAGGGUGAUAGUCCCGUACACCAAAAUGCACAGGCUGUGAACUCGAAGAGUAGGGCGGGACACGUGGUAUCCUGUCUGAAUAUGGGGGGACCAUCCUCCAAGGCUAAAUACUCCUGACUGACCGAUAGUGAACCAGUACCGUGAGGGAAAGGCGAAAAGAACCCCGGCGAGGGGAGUGAAAAAGAACCUGAAACCGUGUACGUACAAGCAGUGGGAGCACCUUCGGGUGUGACUGCGUACCUUUUGUAUAAUGGGUCAGCGACUUAUAUUCUGUAGCAAGGUUAACCGUAUAGGGGAGCCGCAGGGAAACCGAGUCUUAACUGGGCGUUAAGUUGCAGGGUAUAGACCCGAAACCCGGUGAUCUAGCCAUGGGCAGGUUGAAGGUUGGGUAACACUAACUGGAGGACCGAACCGACUAAUGUUGAAAAAUUAGCGGAUGACUUGUGGCUGGGGGUGAAAGGCCAAUCAAACCGGGAGAUAGCUGGUUCUCCCCGAAAGCU
rnacentral:rRNA from 1 species